rnacentral:ncRNA from 1 species
UAACAACAAAAGGGGAGCUGCAACGGCGGCUGAGAGGAAACAACGGUUUCGACCCUGUGGUGAGAGCCACACACCUGAUUCGGAUAAUGCCGACGUAGGGAACUUGUUUAUGACACCGU